AAGGAAAAUUAGUUUAUUUGUGACAGCAGUCAACUUUCGACUUCUCAACUUUACUAAUCGUUUAUUGUGAAAAGUAUCAAAAUCUGACAUGGCGACCAUGGCUUCUUUUCACAAUAAACUUAUGAAUUUAGAAGCUCGUUUACGAGCUGAAAAUGAAGCAAGAAGUCGCGAUAAGUUACCUAGAGAAUUAACUACUGAGUUUUCCAGCCCUCAACAUACACCUCGACCUAGAUUGAAAACUCUUCCUAUUGGUGAGUUUGGAUCACCUGGAAGGCCUUCCUCUGCUAGCCGAUCCAGAAAGAACUUUAUGCUUCCCAAUUCGCCUGUUCCAAGCUUGAAAAUGGCUGAUAACAAUAUUAGUGAGACUGACUGGAAGCUUCAAGAAAUCAUGAAGCAAGCAAAUAUUCUUACCAUUAAUGGCAUCAAAUAUAGUGCUGCCAUGAAUGAUUUAGAGCAACUUGGUGAAUUAGGAACUGGUACUUGUGGUCAUGUUGUUAAAAUGAGACAUAAACCUUCAAAUAAAGUCAUAGCUGUGAAACAAAUGCGUCGGUCUGGCAACAAAGAAGAAAACAAAAGAAUCACAAUGGAUUUGGAUGUUGUUCUUCAAUGUGACUGUCCUCACAUUGUGAAAUGUUUUGGAUAUUUCAUUACAGAAUCUGAUGUUUGGAUCUGCAUGGAACUUAUGGCUACUUGCUUGGACAAAUUAUUAAAACGUCUACAAUCUCCUAUUCCAGAACAGAUCUUAGGAAAAAUGGCUGUUGCUAUUGUAAAAGCCCUUCAUUAUCUUAAAGAAAGACAUGGUGUGAUACAUAGAGAUGUAAAGCCUUCUAAUAUACUCUUAGAUGAAAAUGGAACUGUAAAGUUGUGUGAUUUUGGAAUUAGUGGAAGAUUAGUAGAUUCUAAAGCAAAAACAAGAUCUGCUGGUUGUGCUGCUUAUAUGGCACCAGAACGAAUCGAUCCUCCAGAUCCUGAACGUCCAGAUUAUGACAUACGAGCUGAUGUGUGGAGUUUAGGUAUCUCUCUUGUUGAGCUUGCUACUGGUAAAUUUCCCUACCAAGAUUGCAAAACAGACUUUGAAGUUCUGAGUAAAGUUCUUCAAGAGGACCCUCCCAGAUUGCCCUCUAAUUUAGCAUUUUCAUUAGAUUUUUGCAGUUUUGUUCAAGUUUGUUUUUCAGUGAACUCUAAUGCCUCUUAAGUACAUACUUUGGGACAGUUCAUCUUGAAAUUCUUCAUAUCCCUCGGAAUCGUCAUUACUAUCAUUAUAUUUUUUUACAUACUUACCUUGAAAUUCAGCAAUAUCCUCGAAACUUAACAAAAGAUUACCGUAAAAGACCAAAAUAUAGAGAAUUAUUGGAACAUAAUUUCAUUAAAAGAUAUGAGAAAGCAAAUGUCGAUGUUGCUGCAUGGUUUGCUUCCGUGAUGCAAAGGAGUACACCCCGGACAUUCAGAUUCAGAUAUAAAUGAGCAGAUUCGUUUAAAAAUU